GACCUCAGAUCAGACAAGU
rnacentral:rRNA from 1 species